ACACACACACACACAGAGAGAGAGAGAGAGGGAGAAGGGAGAAGCGGAUUUCUUGUAUAGUUGUUUCUUGUUCUUUCCUUUCUUUUUUUAUAUGUUUGGAUGUGUACUGUUUUAUUUUUGUCCAACAUGAUAA
rnacentral:ribozyme from 12 species